rnacentral:rRNA from 1 species
AAUCAACGCUGGCGGCGUGCCUCAGACAUGCAAGUCGAACGAUUAAAGCUCUCUUCGGAGAGUGUAUAGAGUGGCGCACGGGUGAGUAACACGCAAGUAAUCUACCUUUGAGUGGGGAAUAACGUCCGGAAACGGACGCUAAUACCGCAUAAUGCAGCGGCACCGCAAGAUGACAGUUGUUAAAGAUUUAUCGCUUGAAGAGGAGCUUGCGGCAGAUUAGCUAGUUGGUAAGGUAAUGGCUUACCAAGGCUACGAUCUGUAACCGGUCUAAGAGGACGGUCGGUCACACUGACACUGAAUAACGGGUCAGACUCCUACGGGAGGCAGCAGUCGGGAAUUUUGGGCAAUGGGCGAAAGCCUGACCCAGCAACGCCGCGUGAAGGAUGAAGUAUUUCGGUAUGUAAACUUCGAAAGAAUGGGAAGAAUAAAUGACGGUACCAUUUAUAAGGUCCGGCUAGCUACGUGCCAGCCGCCGCUGUAAUAC